rnacentral:misc_RNA from 1 species
UACGUAGGGCGCAAGCGUUGUCCGGAAUUAUUGGGCGUAAAGUGCUCGUAGGCGGUGCGUCACGUCGGUUGUGAAAACCCAAGGCUCAACCUUGGGCCUGCAAUCGAUACGGGCGGACUAGAGUACUGCAGGGGAGACUGGAAUUCCUGGUGUAGCGGUGGAAUGCGCAGAUAUCAGGAGGAACACCGGUGGCGAAGGCGGGUCUCUGGGCAGUAACUGACGCUGAGGAGCGAAAGCGUGGGGAGCGAACAGG